GGGGUUGUGGCUUAGUGGCAGAGCACUCGCCUAGCACAUGUGAGGCACUGGGUUUGAUCCUCUGCACCCCA
rnacentral:tRNA from 1 species